CCUACGGGUGGCAGCAGUAGGGAAUCUUUCACAAUGGGCGAAAGCCUGAUGGAGCAACGCCGCGUGCAGGAUGAAGGCCUUCGGGUUGUAAACUGCUUUUAUAAGCGAGAAAUAUGAUGGUAACUUAUGAAUAAGGAUCGGCUAACUACGUGCCAGCAGCCGCGGUAAUACGUAGGGGGCGAGCGUUAUCCGGAUUCACUGGGUGUAAAGGGAGCGUAGACGGCCAUGCAAGCCAGGGGUGAAAGCCCGGGGCCCAACCCCGGGACUGCCCUUGGAACUGCAUGGCUGGAGUGCGGGAGGGGCAGGCGGAAUUCCUGGUGUAGCGGUGAAAUGCGUAGAUAUCAGGAGGAACACCGGCGGCGAAGGCGGCCUGCUGGACCGCGACUGACGUUGAGGCUCGAAAGCGUGGGGAGCGAACAGGAUUAGAUACCCGGGUAGUC
rnacentral:rRNA from 1 species